AUAGAAAGAGACAUAUGAAUGUAUUAAAGAUAGACUUAGUAAAUCGAAUCUGACUAGAAUUUUGAAAGACAAUGUAUUAAACUCUUAAAUUCCAGAUCUGGUCAAAGAUGACUCUUCGGCUAACGUCCAGGUUCGUCUGAACCAAGUGGUUCCUUCGCGGUAAGGAGCAGAACGGGCGUGGCGCGUUCCGGACGGUCAGCCUGGUAAGGCUCAUGCGCCAACUUGGUUCCAGCACGACCCAAGUCCUUGGACAGUUGUAGAAUCCGUGCCUUAGAGAAAUUUUGAUCAUCAAAAUUCAAGAACUGAUCAUACUGGCCGGCUGAUCCAUCAGUACGCUCAUCGGGACACUCGGCUCGGAUCAGACGGACCAAAAGGGAAAGACUAUGGUCUGUCUCGAUUUCCACUCGACCCAAGUGGGUUCCGGCUCGACCAUCAGUCUUGGCUUGGCGAGUUGGUCGGGAAAGACGGGCUCCGGUACGGUCGGUUUGGUCAUCUGGACAUGGUUCUAGCCUUAGUUCUUUUCCGGCUGCGUGCGGGUCGAUCCGGUACACGGCUCGGUGUGUCUGUCUGGAACGGUCGUCUGCCUGAACCUCGGUUGGAAUGAUCUGAUCGUCCUGUUCUCCAUCCUGGCCUGGUUCCGUUUGCUGAUCCAUGUACUGAGGCGCAUCAUUCCCUCCCUCUUGAAAAGGAUUUGUCCACAAAUCUGGAUCAUCUGCAAGAAAAGGAGAUAAAUCAGAAACAUUAAAGCUUGAGGAUAUGUCAUACUUACCUUGCAAGUCAAGCUGAUAAGCAUUGUCCUGGAUUUUCUUAAGAAUCUGAAAAGGACCAUCGACCCUUGGCAUGAGUUUGGACUUUCUUUCUUCCGGAAAUCGUUCCUUCCUAAGAUGAACCCAAACAAGAUCACCCUCCUCAAAAAUGACCUUCUUUUUCUUCUUGUUGGCCUUCCUUGUGUACACCUCGGUCUUGGCUUCAAUGUUCGCACGAACUGUCUCAUGCAACUUCUUGAUUGUAUCAGCUUUCCUCUUGCCAUCUGUACUAACUCUUUCACUCAAAGGCAAAGGCAAAAGAUCAAGUGGAGAUAAGGGAUUGAAACCAUAAACAACCUCAAAAGGAGAGAAUUUAGUAGAAGAAUGCAAUGAAUGAUUGUAAGCGAAUUCAACAUGAGGCAAACAUUCUUCCCAAAGUCUAAGAUUUUUCUUAACCAAUGACCUAAGCAAUGCAGACAAGGUUCGGUUCACAACUUCAGUUUGUCCAUCAGUUUGAGGAUGACAAGUGGUGGAAAACAUCAAUCUAGUUCCUAGUUUAGACCAUAACGUUUUCCAGAAAUAACUAAGGAACUUAGCAUCACGAUCAGAAACAAUAGUCUUAGGCAUUCCGUGCAAUCUAACAAUUUCCCUAAAGAAUAGAUCAGCAACUUGCACAGCAUCAUUAGUCUUAUGACAAGGUAUGAAAUGAGCCAUUUUAGAGAAUCUAUCGACCACAACAAAGAUAGAGUCUCGACCAGAUUUAGACCUAGGCAAUCCAAGCACAAAAUCCAUAGAUAUGUCUACCCAAGGAUGAGAAGGAAUGGGAAGAGCAGAAUACAAACCUUGGUUUUUAGAUUUAGACUUGGCUUUCUUGCAAACCACACAUCGGCCACAGACCCGUUCCACAUCCUUCAUCAAGCUCGGCCAAUAGAAGUGCUCAUUCACCACCUUGUGCGUUUUCUUGACUCCAAAGUGUCCCAUAAGGCCUCCUCCAUGAGCUUCCCUGAGAAACAAUUCCCUCAAAGAACAUUGGGGCACACACAAACGGUUAUCAAAGAAUAAAAAUCCAGAAGCUUGAUAGUACUUUCCAUAGGCCGUUUUUGAACACUUUAUGAACACUUCUUUGAAAUCCGAAUCAGUUGCAUACAGAUCUUUGAUAAAUUCAAAACCAAGCAACUUUGUUUCAAGAGCUGAAAGAAGAACAUACCUCUUGGACAAGGCAUCAGCCACCACAUUGUCCUUACCUUGUUUGUAUUUGAUCACAUAAGGAAAGGUCUCAAUGAACUCGACCCAACGGGCAUGUCUCUUGUUCAGCUUCUGCUGGCCCUUAAGGUGUUUCAAGGACUGAUGAUCAGUGUGGAUCACAAACUCUUUUGGCCAAAGAUAAUGCUGCCAUGUCUGAAGAGCCCUCACCAAAGCAUACAACUCCUUGUCAUAAGUGGGGUAGUUGAGCGUGGCUCCUCCAAGUUUCUCACUGAAGUAAGCAAUGGGUUUCCUAUCCUGCAUGAGAACAGCACCAAUACCAACACCCGAAGCAUCACAUUCGAUCUCAAAAGUCUUAGAGAAAUCAGGUAGAGUAAGCAAAGGAGCAUGAGUUAACUUCCCUUUUAGAAUCUGGAAUGCCUCCUCUUGGGUUUGUUCCCACUUGAACCCCACGUUCUUUUUGAUUACCUCAGUAAGCGGAGCGGCUAUGGUACUGAAAUCCUGGACGAACCGUCUGUAGAAGCCGGCUAGGCCAUGGAAACUUCUUACUUCGCCCACGGUCGUUGGACUCGGCCAAUCUCGGAUGGCUUUGAUCUUUUCCUCGUCCACUCUGAGCCCAUCAGAUCCUACAACAAAGCCUAAGAACACCACAUGAUCUGUUCCAAAAGAGCAUUUUUCAAGAUUUGCAAAAAGUUUUUCUUUUCGUAGAACAUCAAGAACAGAUUUCAAGUGUAUCUUAUGAUCAUCAAGAUUCUUGCUGUAGAUGAGAAUAUCAUCAAAGUAAACAACCACGAAAUGGCCAAUAAAAGACCUCAAGAUAUGAUUCAUCAAACGCAUAAAAGUGCUAGGUGCAUUAGUAAGACCAAAUGGCAUGACAAGCCACUCAUACAAUCCUAGUUUCGUCUUAAAUGCAGUUUUCCACUCAUCACCUUCUUUCAUUCUAAUUUGGUGAUAGCCACUUUUCAAAUCAAUCUUAGAGAAAACUGAUGAACCAUGCAACUCAUCUAGCAUGUCAUCAAGCCUAGGAAUGGGAUGCCUAUACUUUACCGUAAUGUUGUUGAUGGCACGGCAGUCUACGCACAUGCGCCAAGAUCCGUCCUUUUUGGGCACUAGGAGGACAGGCACGGCACAAGGGCUGAGGCUCUCCCUGAUGUGUCCUUUCUCCAGAAGAUCACCAACCUGCUUCUGAAGUUCUUUGGUUUCAACUGGGUUGGUUCGAUAGGCUGGCCGGUUCGGUAGAGAGGCUCCCGGGACAAAAUCGAUCUGAUGUUCUAUGCCUCGAACUGGUGGCAAUCCCUUAGGAUUCUCAUCUGAAAAAACAUCAGAAAAGUCCUGCAAAAUAUCUAGCAACUCACUCGGAAUCUCCGGUGCAAGGUCAGAAGAAAGUGAAGCCAUAAGAGAUUCUUUAUACACAAGUAAAAGAAAUGGCUUUUGGGAGUAAAGAGACCUCUUAACCUGACUUUGUUUUAUGAAGAAGUUGGAGUUUCGUUGAGAUGACUCAGGCUCGUCCGGCUUAGGUUCCUGGUCACGGUUCUUCUUGAGUUGGACCUGAUCUUGGUGAACCUCUAAUGGAGACAAGGGCACCAGCGUGAUCUUCUUUCCUUUGUGGUCAAAGGAGUGUCGGUUUGUGAAGCCAUCAUGCACUGCUCUCUUAUCAAACUGCCAUGGACGGCCUAGAAGGAUGUGACAAGCGUCCAUAGGAAGAACGUUGCAAACAACUUCAUCCUCAUAUCGUCCAAUGGUAAGAGGGAUCGUGACUUGUUCCUUGACAUACUGUUCACCGGUUUCAUUGAGCCAUUCCAACCUGAAAGGACGUGAAAGAGGUCGAGUAGCUAGCCCUAGCUUCCUGACAAGAGUAUCACUAGCAACAUUAGUACAACUCCCACCAUCAAUGAUCAAAGAACAAACUUUUUCAGAGAUUAAACAACGAGAAUGAAAGAGAUUCUCCCUUUGUUCUUUUUCAUUGGUUUUGGGCUGAACACUCAAGGAACGUCUAGUAACCAGUAGUGGUCCGUGAGCUGGAUAGUCAAAGCAAUCCUCCUUAUCAAAGAUCGGCUCAGAAUCAAUGUCGAAGACCGGGCCAAGGUCGUCGUCCGUGUGGCCGUUAGCAUGACCGUCCGUCUCAUCGAAGAUGGGACCGUUCCAAGCCUUCCUCGCAACAAGUAGUGGUCCAUGAUGUGGGUAGUCAAAGGACUCCUCUUCCUCAUCAAAGAUAGGACCAAGAUCCUCCUUGUUCUCUUGCUCGUCCUCGGACUCAACCUCUCCAUUUUCCAUGAGAAUCAUUACUCUUUGGUUCGGACAUUUGUUGGCAUAGUGUCCUAGGCCUUGACACUUGAAGCAUCUGAUGUCUCUUGCACGGCUAGGAUUCUCAAUAGCUUUUCCUUUGUCAACACGAGCAGGAGCAUCAGUCUUUAAAGCUGUAUUUGUUGUGGCAGAAGACUUACCUUUGUCUUGAUAACUUGGCUUAGGAGUAAAGGACGGUUUAAGAGCAAAGGCCGGCUUUGAGUAGCUCUUUCUUUUGACCUGUUGUUCGAUCAGGAUGGCUUUGUGCAACAUUUGCUCCACAGUUCCAUACUCUUGUAGUUCCAUACGAUCUUGGAUGUCUCGGUUAAGGCCAGAAAGGAACCUAGCCAUAGUGGCGUCCACGGGUUCGUCUACAUCGGCCUUGAUCAUCAAAGUUUCCAUCUCCUGGUGGUAGUCUUCCACGGACUUAGUGCCUUGAAGUAAGCGUCGGAGUUUCUGGUGGAGAUCUCGGUGAUAAUGAGCAGGAACAAAUCGUCUCCUCAUCAGCAUGGAAAACUCAUCCCAUGUCUCAAUCGGUCUCUCACCUGUUCUCCUCCUGUGGGUCACAACUUGAUCAUACCAAUUAAUAGCAUAGCCAGAAAAUUCAGUAACAGCUAGUCUAACUUUCUUAAGUUCAGAAAAGUUUUGACAAUCAAAGACAUGUUCAAUUUUUCUUUCCCAUUCAAGAAAAACAUCAGGAUCAUUUUUACCCUCAAAAGGUGGGAUUUUUAGUUUCAAUCCACUUAAGCUAUCAUUAGCACGUUCAUUUCUAGCAAAAGGAUUGACAUCACCUGGUUCCUGGUUUCUGUGACCCCUCCUAGGUCGGUUUAUGGAUCGGUCCUCGUCCUCAUGAGAGUCCUCCUCUCGGAUCUCAUCAUCAGACCGGUUUGGCCUCCUUGGGCGAUCUCUUCUUGCUCUGGUUCGAGGACGCGGCUGUUGACUGUUCUGGAUCUCAUCUAGCCUUAGAUGGAUCUGCUCAAGACCUGCAUUCAUAAGGUUAGUAAAAGAAUCAUUCAAGGCUCGCAUCAGCAAGUUAGAUAAACCGGCCACUGAGUUUCCGGGUCGGCUCCUUUCGUCUUCACUUCCCAUGGUUCCUGAAACUUCUUAAACACAAAACUUUAGAUAAAAAUACCUCACUCUCUCAAGUGUUUUGAUCUCACCCACACACGUGUUUCUCUCAGAUUUUUGUUGAUCACUCACAAGUCUUAUACUCAAGGUUCUAAGAGAUCUAAUCAAGGAAUUCCAAGGGACAAACUUCAAGCAAACAAGGUAAAAUUUUUUUUUUUUUUUGUAAAGAGAGAAAGAUAAGAGAUUUAGCUUUUAGAAUCCGUUUUAACCACCUCAAAGGCUGGAUUUCUUCUCAGCCAGCAGGCUUUCUCUUCCACCACCAAUCCACAAAUCGAUCUUGAAACUUUUUUUUUUAAAUCGUAGAUCUUUCUAUUUUUUUUUUUUUAAAUGGAUGGUAAUAAGGGGUCCGGAUUCAAGAUAGAUAGAAGAAGAAUUUUUUUUUUUUUAUGAAGAAAAUGGUAGAUGUGAAAGAUGAAAUGAAAAGAGAUACCGGAAGAGUGGCUCUGAUUCCACUUUGAUACGCCUUAAAAGGAUCACUCGACCGGAUUUGAAAAACAGAUAUGAACUCCAAGAGGAGAUCUGAUGGAAUGAGGGGUCGCACAAAGGUUGCGGAGUGGCCUUUGAUAUUCCCGAACCAGAUUGUUGCCGGAUGUGACUCACCGGUCCAACAAAGAGGCAAUCUUGAACCGUUGCUUGAUAUGACUCACAAGACCAACGGACAAGGACGUUUGCUUGGAGCUAACCACACCAAGAAAACUAGAAAAGUUCUAAGCAAAGAACAAAGAGUAAAGACUCAAAAAGAAGUUGAAAGAAAAUGGAAUGAUUUUAUUGAUAGAAGUGUUUACAUAUUUAUACUACUUGAGGAAUAGAAAGAGACAUAUGAAUGUAUUAAAGAUAGACUUAGUAAAUCGAAUCUGACUAGAAUUUUGAAAGACAAUGUAUUAAACUCUUAAAUUCCAGAUCUGGUCAAAGAUGACUCUUCGGCUAACGUCCAGGUUCGUCUGAACCAAGUGGUUCCUUCGCGGUAAGGAGCAGAACGGGCGUGGCGCGUUCUGGACGGUCAGCCGGGUAAGGCUCAUGCGCCAACUUGGUUCCAGCACGACCCAAGUCCUUGGACAGUUGUAGAAUCUGUGCCUUAGAGAAAUUUUGAUCAUCAAAGUUCAAGAACUG
rnacentral:lncRNA from 1 species